GCGGGCGUUGCAUAAUGGUAAUGCCCUUGCCUUCCAAGCAAGAGUCGCGGGUUCGAUUCCCGCCGCCCGCUCCA
rnacentral:tRNA from 1 species